GCCGAUGUGGUGGAAUUGGUAGACACGCUACCUUGAGGUGGUAGUGGCGAAAGCCGUGACGGUUCGAGUCCGUCCAUCGGUA
rfam:Gammaproteobacteria bacterium RIFCSPHIGHO2_12_FTLL_41_20 rifcsphigho2_12_scaffold_314, whole genome shotgun sequence.